rnacentral:tRNA from 1 species
UGUGGGGUGGCCGAGGUUAUUUAGGCGGAAGAUUGUAAAUCUUUUUACGGAAAAGUUUUUCCCCCACAA